rnacentral:rRNA from 1 species
CAUGCAAGUCAAGGAAGAACGUUUUCUUCGGAAAGCUAUUAAACUGGCGAACGGGUGAGUAACGCGUAGGCAACCUGCCCUAGAGAUUGGGAUAACAUCGGGAAACCGGUGCUAAUACCGAAUAAUGCAGCGGAUCCUUCGGGAUACAGUUGUUAAAGCGGGCUUCGGCUCGCACUUUAGGAUGGGCCUGCGUCCGAUUAGCUUGUUGGUAAGGUAACGGCUUACCAAGGCAAUGAUCGGUAGCUGGUCUGAGAGGAUGAUCAGCCACACUGGGAUUGAGAUACGGCCCAGACUCCUACGGGAGGCAGCAGUAGGGAAUUUUGCGCAAUGGGGGAAACCCUGACGCAGCAACGCCGCGUGACCGAUGAAGCUUCUAGGAGCGUAAAGGUCUGUCGUAAGGGAAGAAAAGUUUAGAUGUAAAUAAUGUUUGAACCUGACGGUACCUUACAAGAAAGCACCGGCUAACUUCGUGCCAGCAGCCGCGGUAAUACGAGGGGUGCAAGCGUUGUCCGGAAUCACUGGGCGUAAAGGGUCCGUAGGCGUCUCAAAAAGUCAUUUGUUAAAUACACCGGCUUAACCAGUGAAACUGCAUUUGAAACU